GAGACUGUUUAUUUUUCUUCAUAGCAAUUAUCUCAGUAAGAAAUUAUACAAUUAUUAGUUUAUCUGUGGACUGUUUAUCAUCCAUCUCUCCCUCUAGAAUAUAAACUCUAUGAAGAAAAGGACUUUGUCUUGUUCACCACAGCAUUCCCAGUGCUUAGAACCAUCCCUAGCCUAAUUUAGGACUCAAUAAUAUUUGUUGAAUAAAUUAAAAUACCAAGAACUCUAACUGAUAUAUGAACCUUACUUUUCUACAAAAGUCCCAUCCAUCUUCAUGGAAACAUUUUCCUUUAUAUCCCAACAUCCGUUUACAUUUGCCUUUUAAAUCAGAGAUCCCUAUCAGGUUACUAGGAAAACCUUAGGCAUUUAUUUUUAACCCAGAAAAUACUUUGGGUCAAGAUCUGCAGUGCAUUCUCAGAUGACUUGGGCAUUAUCACCAUUCACUGGAUAGUGCAGGCAAUCCUGUGGGCAAGUUAACGACAAAGUACCACUUAGUCCCUUGUCAUCUCAGGAUAGACUUCUUGUGCCACCCAGACCCUCCCAUUUAAAUACAUACAAGUCCCCACUUUUAGGAUAGAACGUCCAAGCAAGGGCUGAUGGCUCCUUUUUAAUUCCUGAGAUCCACCAAUUUUCCCAUCAGGGCAACACAAGAACAGCCCCCUCUUUGUUAGUCAUCGAAGAAGAUCAUUUUCUAGUAUUUUUCCUCCCUGACUCACUGGUCCUCACCGUGCAUCAGACAUAGGACACCGCCACAUUGGGGAAUGCCUUCCUCUGAAAUAGGUUCGCUGUGACUUCUUUCACGCCUGGUUGGAACACAGAGUCCUAAUUAGAGCGAGGCUCCUCUCUCAGAUCAGUGCUCUGAUGGUUCUAAAUUGGUUCACACCAUCCCCUUUCUUCCUAAAUGAUCAGGAUCUUUGCCUUUCUUAUUGUAGACACAUGAGAUUGACCACCGGGUCCCUGACACUGCCCUCUGACUAACGUUUUCCCUGGUGUUUUCAGAUGUCCCCAAAGACCCCCUUCCAUCUUCUUGAAGACCUGUAGCUUUUUAAGGAGAAACAAUGGCAUCUUCUGAAAUGCUUCCUGAGACCUCGGGAGCAAUCUGGCAAUGCAGAAGGUGGCAUUACUCCAAGAGCAGACUCUCUCUGUCCAGAGCAGCAGGCACCCUCUCUGCGUUUGUUGUUGAAGCUAGAACAAAGUCUCAGGAUGACAGCUUCCAGGAAGAGCCACCAAAACUUCCAUGCUUCCCUUCACUGAGCUGAGGGAGAGCGCUCCUGGAAAUGGAAUGGCCUUUAAAUACUUCUACAACCGAAAUUAAAACUUAAAAAGGAACACACUUGUGCCCAAAGUGGAAAAGAAUCAAUUGCAUAAGAAAACCAAGAAUCAAGACUUCUGCACUUUUUUUCCAGAAAUGCUAAAUCUGAUUAUAUUUGUCAAG
ensembl:lncRNA